GUGACCACUGGAAAAACCAUAGCCUUGACUAGACGGACCUUUGCUGGCAAAGUAAUGUCUCUGCUUUUUAAUAUGCUGUCUAGGUUGGUCAUAACUUUUCUUCCAAAGAGCAAGCGUCUUUUAAUUUCAUGGCUGCAGUUACCAUCUGCAGUGAUUUUGGAGCCCAAAAAUAUAAAGUCAGCCACUGUUUCCACUGUUUCCCCAUCUAUUUCCCAUGAAGUGAUGGGACCAGAUGCCAUGAUCUUCGUUUUCUGAAUGUUGAGCUUUAAGCCAACUUUUUCACUCUCCUCUUUCACUUUGGUCAAGAGGCGCAGAAGUGCAGAACUGCAACAGAUGGUGCAGAAGCGCUGCCAAGAGGAGCUACCCCACGUCCAAGAACUUCAUCCAGGACACGACGUCGCGUGCAGCCAUCAUGCCUCCUCAGGCUCCUCUGGGCUGUGGCAGCUUUUGUUUUGGCCCUUUUUAAAAACGUUACUUUAAAAAUUGAGGCAGAUUUUCAGAUUAGAACUGUCUGGCAGAGCAGAAGAAAGCGCACUCAUCUUCUGUGAGAACUCCAAAAUUACAACUCACGCUGCCGAACAACUGUUGACAGGAGAAUGUUGGAUUCCAGAAAAAAAAUAUACUUCAUGUCCAGGGGCAAAGGCGAAGCUCCAGCAAGAUGGUAGGAGGGGCAAAAUUGCCUUUAGAAUCAAACCCCAUACCCUCCAGAGACGCUCGGAGGGUAAACAAAACCUUGUUCACACCAGGAGACUCCACAGAGACUGAGUCAGACCUGCCUUUGAGUGUCUCCUGGGGAGGUGCGGGUCAGCAGUGGGCUGCCACAGGGGCAGGGGCUCUGGGUGCGGCAGACCUGGGUGUGGUAUAAG
rnacentral:lncRNA from 1 species